UCCUACGGGAGGCAGCAGUGAGGAAUAUUGGUCAAUGGGCGCGAGCCUGAACCAGCCAAGUCGCGUGAGGGAAGACGGUCCUAUGGAUUGUAAACCUCUUUUGUCGGGGAGCAAAAGACGCCACGCGUGGCGUUCCGAGAGUACCCGAAGAAAAAGCAUCGGCUAACUCCGUGCCAGCAGCCGCGGUAAUACGGAGGAUGCGAGCGUUAUCCGGAAUUAUUGGGUUUAAAGGGUGCGCAGGCGGAAGAUCAAGUCAGCGGUAAAAUGGAGAGGCUCAAACUCUUCGCGACGUUGAAACUUGUUUU
rnacentral:rRNA from 1 species